AGGAACGAUGGGGGCGUGCCUAAUACAUGCAAGUCGAGCGAACGGACGAGAAGCUUGCUUCUCUGAUGUUAGCGGCGGACGGGUGAGUAACACGUGGAUAACCUACCUAUAAGACUGGGAUAACUUCGGGAAACCGGAGCUAAUACCGGAUAAUAUUUUGAACCGCAUGGUUCAAAAGUGAAAGACGGUCUUGCUGUCACUUAUAGAUGGAUCCGCGCUGCAUUAGCUAGUUGGUAAGGUAACGGCUUACCAAGGCAACGAUGCAUAGCCGACCUGAGAGGGUGAUCGGCCACACUGGAACUGAGACACGGUCCAGACUCCUACGGGAGGCAGCAGUAGGGAAUCUUCCGCAAUGGGCGAAAGCCUGACGGAGCAACGCCGCGUGAGUGAUGAAGGUCUUCGGAUCGUAAAACUCUGUUAUUAGGGAAGAACAUAUGUGUAAGUAACUGUGCACAUCUUGACGGUACCUAAUCAGAAAGCCACGGCUAACUACGUG
rnacentral:rRNA from 1 species